rnacentral:rRNA from 1 species
CGGCAACAGCUCAGAUUUGAAAUCGGCCCACCGGUCGAGUUGUAAUCUGCAGAGGAUGCUUCGGGGCAGCGGCCGGUCUAAGUCUCUUGGAACAGGGCGUCACAGAGGGUGAGAAUCCCGUAUGUGACCGGCGCGCACCCCACACGUAGCUCCUUCGAC